UGGAAUGGGCUCGCGGCCUAUCAUCUUGUUGGUGAGGUAAUGGCUCACCGGGGCGUCGACGGGUAGCCGGCCUGAGAGGGUGACCGGCCACACUGGGACUGAGACACGGCCCAGACUCCUACGGGAGGCAGCAGUGGGGAAUAUUGCACAAUGGGCGCAAGCCUGAUGCAGCAACGCCGCGUGAGGGAUGACGGCCUUCGGGUUGUAAACCUCUUUUGGUAGGGAAGAAGCCUUCGGGUGACGGUACCUGCAGAAAAAGCGCCGGCUAACUACGUUCCAGCAGCCGCGGUAAUACGUAGGGCGCAAGCGUUAUCCGGAAUUAUUGGGCGUAAAGAGGUGGUAGGCGGUCUGUCGCGUCUGCUGUGAAAUUCCGAGGCUCAACCUCGGGCUUGCAGUGGGUACGGGCAGACUAGAGUGCGGUAGGGGAGAUUGGAAUUCCUGGUGUAGCGGUGGAAUGCGCAGAUAUCAGGAGGAACACCGAUGGCGAAGGUAGAUCUCUGGGCCGUUACUGACGCUGAGGAGCUAAAGGGUGGGGAGCAAACAGGCUUAAAUACCCUGGUAGUCCACCCCGUAAACCUUGGGAACUAUUUGUGGGGUCCUUUCCACGGAUUCCGUGACGUAGCUAACGCAUUAAGUUCCCCGCCUGGGGAGUACGGCCGCAAGGCUAAAACUCAAAGGAAUUGACGGGGACCCGCACAAGCGGCGGAGCAUGCGGAUUAAUUCGAUGCAACGCGAAGAACCUUACCAAGGCUUGACAUACGCCAGAACGGGCCAGAAAUGGUCAACUCUUUGGACACUGGUGAACAGGUGGUGCAUGGUUGUCGUCAGCUCGUGUCGUGAGAUGUUGGGUUAAGUCCCGCAACGAGCGCAACCCUCGUUCUAUGUUGCCAGCACGUUAUGGUGGGAACUCAUGGGAUACUGCCGGGGUCAACUCGGAGGAAGGUGGGGAUGACGUCAAAUCAUCAUGCCCCUUAUGUCUUGGGCUUCACGCAUGCUACAAUGGCCGGUACAAUGGGCUGCGAUACCGCGAGGUGGAGCGAAUCCCAAAAAGCCGGUC
rnacentral:rRNA from 1 species